rnacentral:rRNA from 1 species
UACGUAGGUGUCGAGCGUUGUCCGGAUUUAUUGGGCGUAAAGAGCCCGCAGGCGGCUUGCCAAGUUCGAGGUGAAAUCUCCCGGCUCAACCGGGAGGGUGCCUCGAAAACUGGCAGGCUUGAGGCAGGGAGAGGGAUGUGGAAUUCCCGGUGUAGUGGUGAAAUACGUAGAUAUCAAGAGGAAUACCGGUGGCGAAGGCGGGUAACUGGCCUAACACUGACACUCAGACCCGAAAGCGUGGGGAUCAAACAGGAUUAGAAACCCGUGUAGU